GCCUAACACAUGCAAGUCGAACGGUAACAGGAAGCAGCUUGCUGCUUUGCUGACGAGUGGCGGACGGGUGAGUAAUGUCUGGGAAACUGCCUGAUGGAGGGGGAUAACUACUGGAAACGGUGGCUAAUACCGCAUAACGUCGCAAGACCAAAGAGGGGGACCUUCGGGCCUCUUGCCAUCAGAUGUGCCCAGAUGGGAUUAGCUUGUUGGUGAGGUAACGGCUCACCAAGGCGACGAUCCCUAGCUGGUCUGAGAGGAUGACCAGCCACACUGGAACUGAGACACGGUCCAGACUCCUACGGGAGGCAGCAGUGGGGAAUAUUGCACAAUGGGCGCAAGCCUGAUGCAGCCAUGCCGCGUGUAUGAAGAAGGCCUUCGGGUUGUAAAGUACUUUCAGCGGGGAGGAAGGUGUUGCGGUUAAUAACCGCAGCAAUUGACGUUACCCGCAGAAGAAGCACCGGCUAACUCCGUGCCAGCAGCCGCGGUAAUACGGAGGGUGCAAGCGUUAAUCGGAAUUACUGGGCGUAAAGCGCACGCAGGCGGUCUGUCAAGUCGGAUGUGAAAUCCCCGGGCUCAACCUGGGAACUGCAUUCGAAACUGGCAGGCUUGAGUCUUGUAGAGGGGGGUAGAAUUCCAGGUGUAGCGGUGAAAUGCGUAGAGAUCUGGAGGAAUACCGGUGGCGAAGGCGGCCCCCUGGACAAAGACUGACGCUCAGGUGCGAAAGCGUGGGGAGCAAACAGGAUUAGAUACCCUGGUAGUCCACGCCGUAAACGAUGUCUACUUGGAGGUUGUGCCCUUGAGGCGUGGCUUCCGGAGCUAACGCGUUAAGUAGACCGCCUGGGGAGUACGGCCGCAAGGUUAAAACUCAAAUGAAUUGACGGGGGCCCGCACAAGCGGUGGAGCAUGUGGUUUAAUUCGAUGCAACGCGAAGAACCUUACCUGGUCUUGACAUCCACAGAACUUUCCAGAGAUGGAUUGGUGCCUUCGGGAACUGUGAGACAGGUGCUGCAUGGCUGUCGUCAGCUCGUGUUGUGAAAUGUUGGGUUAAGUCCCGCAACGAGCGCAACCCUUAUCCUUUGUUGCCAGCGAUUAGGUCGGGAACUCAAAGGAGACUGCCAGUGAUAAACUGGAGGAAGGUGGGGAUGACGUCAAGUCAUCAUGGCCCUUACGACCAGGGCUACACACGUGCUACAAUGGCGCAUACAAAGAGAAGCGACCUCGCGAGAGCAAGCGGACCUCAUAAAGUGCGUCGUAGUCCGGAUUGGAGUCUGCAACUCGACUCCAUGAAGUCGGAAUCGCUAGUAAUCGUGGAUCAGAAUGCCACGGUGAAUACGUUCCCGGGCCUUGUACACACCGCCCGUCACACCAUGGGAGUGGGUUGCAAAAGAAGUAGGUAGCUUAACCUUCGGGAGGGCGCUUACCACUUUGUGAUUCAUGACUGGGGUGAAGUCGUAACAAGGUAACCGUAGGGGAACCUGCGGUUGGAUCACCUCCUUACCUUAAAGAA
rnacentral:rRNA from 1 species